CUUGGCAGGUCUUAAAUUAUUUUAAAAUAUUUAAAUAAUUUAACCUUUAAUUCACCUAUCCCAACAUGGCUACCGUGCGAGCACCUAUCAAAACCUUGAUGAAAAUAACAAACCGAAAAUCCAUUUGACCUUGGACGUGCCCCGUGCCGGUGCACUGGCCUUAGGGGUGCUGAAGAACUUGAUUUGGAUGCCGGCGGCGGCGACGACAGUGCGCCGGCGCACAUCUCUAUGGAGGUGGACACGGCGACCCUUGGGCGACCGCCGCUGCCGCGGUUUGCUACAGGUGGCGAUGGCCACUAAUCUGUUGGAGGAGGCGCCCCCGGCACAGGUCCCAACCGCCGGAGACGCGGCAGAGACCGGGCAGUGGGCUGGCUUCCAGUCGCGAUACGACGCGGUCGUGACAGCGUCUCAGUACACAGGAGCCGCGGCUGUGGACGAUUGUUGAGAGACGGCGCGGGGCACCGAUAGAAGCUUGUCUGCUAGAGAUCAAAUCCUGUCUGCUGGUGGUAUAUAAUGCCGCGUAGGCGCUAAUGCCGCACUUCUCGCUCUCGAUCACCUCCAGCAGUCGCGCGGCGUACCUACGCUCGCUGCUCCUCGAGUAGAUGGGGCGGCAGCGGCGCGGGCGGAGCCUGUGGAGGUGGUGGCGAGGGCGACACAACUCUGAAGCUUUGGAAAAAAAGCUGAUAAUACAUACUAUAUAAUAAUAAUACAUACUAUAUAAAAAAAAUGCUGAUAAUGCAUACUACAUACUAAAGCUGAUAAUACAAUAUAUACGAGCGGAAGCGGCGCGCGCACAGCGCCAGCACCGUGUCGAGAUCCUCCGGCGGCCUGCGCUCGUCGCUGAGCGUAUGUAGACUACUUGUGUCUUGUAGACAGUAGAGCUCGUCUUGACGGCGAAAUGUCAUUGUCCAAUUUUUCACUGUCCGGCGACCGCGGGAUGACAUUAACACUGUAUGUCACGCCGUGCACAUUA